AUUGAACGCUGGCGGCAGGCUUAACACAUGCAAGUCGAGCGGAGUGAUGGUGCUUGCACCAUCACUUAGCGGCGAACGGGUGAGUAAUGCCUAGGAAUCUGCCCAUUAGCGGGGGACAACGUGUGGAAACGCACGCUAAUACCGCAUACGCCCUACGGGGGAAAGCAGGGGACUCUUUGAGCCUUGCACUAAUGGAUGAGCCUAGGUCAGAUUAGCUAGUUGGUGGGGUAAAGGCCUACCAAGGCGACGAUCUGUAGCGGGUCUGAGAGGAUGAUCCGCCACACUGGAACUGAGACACGGUCCAGACUCCUACGGGAGGCAGCAGUGGGGAAUAUUGGACAAUGGGCGCAAGCCUGAUCCAGCCAUGCCGCGUGUGUGAAGAAGGCCUUUUGGUUGUAAAGCACUUUAAGCGAGGAGGAGGCUUACCUGGUUAAUACCUGGGAUAAGUGGACGUUACUCGCAGAAUAAGCACCGGCUAACUCUGUGCCAGCAGCCGCGGUAAUACAGAGGGUGCGAGCGUUAAUCGGAAUUACUGGGCGUAAAGCGCGCGUAGGCGGUUUGUUAAGUCGGAUGUGAAAUCCCCGGGCUCAACCUGGGAAUUGCAUUCGAUACUGGCAAGCUAGAGUAUGGGAGAGGAAGGUAGAAUUCCAGGUGUAGCGGUGAAAUGCGUAGAGAUCUGGAGGAAUACCGAUGGCGAAGGCAGCCUUCUGGCCUAAUACUGACGCUGAGGUGCGAAAGCAUGGGGAGCAAACAGGAUUAGAUACCCUGGUAGUCCAUGCCGUAAACGAUGUCAACUAGCCGUUGGGGGAUUUGAUCCUUUAGUGGCGCAGCUAACGCGAUAAGUUGACCGCCUGGGGAGUACGGUCGCAAGACUAAAACUCAAAUGAAUUGACGGGGGCCCGCACAAGCGGUGGAGCAUGUGGUUUAAUUCGAUGCAACGCGAAGAACCUUACCUGGUCUUGACAUAGUGAGAAUCUUUCAGAGAUGAGAGAGUGCCUUCGGGAAUUCACAUACAGGUGCUGCAUGGCUGUCGUCAGCUCGUGUUGUGAGAUGUUGGGUUAAGUCCCGCAACGAGCGCAACCCUUUUCCUUAUUUGCCAGCACUUUUAGGUGGGAACUCUAAGGAUACUGCCAGUGACAAACUGGAGGAAGGCGGGGACGACGUCAAGUCAUCAUGGCCCUUACGACCAGGGCUACACACGUGCUACAAUGGUCGGUACAAAGGGUUGCUACACAGCGAUGUGAUGCUAAUCUCAAAAAGCCGAUCGUAGUCCGGAUUGGAGUCUGCAACUCGACUCCGUGAAGUCGGAAUCGCUAGUAAUCGCGGAUCAGAAUGCCGCGGUGAAUACGUUCCCGGGCCU
rnacentral:rRNA from 1 species